GACUCGGGGACCGGGGAGGUGGUGGGCGAGGCCUUUCGCGAUGUUGCUAGGCAACCUGCACACCGGAAAGCUCCAAAGAUGCUCAAGAAACUGGACUCUUGACCUUACUUUGUCAAACAUUUUCUUUUGCCUUUUCAGUAUCCCAGUCCUACUUUUAAACAUGGAGUGAAAAUAUACUUCAAACUGAAACAUGAUGCCGCCAAAUGGCAUGGUGCAUCUAUUGUCUGCUCUUACCUUUCCUGCUGUGCUCUCUUGUGUGAAGUCAGCAUCACCCCAAGUCCUGAGCACUAUGUUCAUGAGCUUCACUCCAUGCUGUCAGACUCAAGUAACACUCUGGCUCAAAAUCAGGAGAAAAAUCAACCCCAGCAGCUCAAAUCAGACCUCACUUGAACCACUUGAAACUCUACAGUUUAAGUCAUUACCAGUGGAAGAAGAGUUCCCAUCCCCAGGGAAUUGUCUCCAUAAGUAUCAACCAGGAAUCACCAUCUCAGAUGCUCAGAAGAAUCAUUGUAACAGAAAAGAAUGAAAGGAUGAAGUAGAUAUGGUAUGUUUUGAAUAUUUAAUUAUGUUUUAUAGUAUUUGCAAUCAAAUAAAUUCUAUAAUACUGACAUCACCAGAAUUUAUACUAACCAGCUCUGACUUUAAAAACAAAAAUGUCUUUGCUAUUUGCUUAUAUCAUUCUUAUCAGAGUGAUCAAUAAGAAGCAAUGUUGUUGCUUAUUUUUUAGUAAAACAAGCUGCCAAAAGUCAACAUGGAAGCUUUCUUCUUCUCAAAUCAGAAUCAGAAACACCUUGUUUUGGAACAUUCACAUGGUAGAAGUGUUUAUUUGGCUUAUACAAGGCUUUUCUGUCUCCUAGAGAGUCAAACUUGGGGUAGAGUAAGGAGCUGAGUGUAUUCUGAGAGGGAAACAUCACAAUAUCCAGUGCCUUUCACCCUAUGUUUGCAAACUUAGAGAAACAGUGGGAAUGAACUGAUAGGGUCACCAGCAAAGUUUCUAGCAUGAAAAGACUCCAAAAAGGAAUGAAUUCACCACAGUAGUAGAGAACACCUGGCCUUGUGAUCUGGGUCUAACAUAAACCAUAUCAGGAGGGCUUGUCUUGACCCAGGCAUGAAACCAAAUUUGCAGCCUUCUGCAGCUCCAUCUGCCUGGCAUGUGGCAGUACUUUGGGAAAUGAUUCAACACAUAAGUGUGAAAUAAAUAAGCCAAAAUCUUGGAUCUCAGCAGGAUCCAAAAUAAUCUCUGCAUCACCUGAACUGGGCAAAUAUUAAGUUAUAGAGGAUUGAUGUUUAAAAUUAUUGUUGUGACAACAUGAUUAAGAAAUGCCAGUGGUUCUGAAGAAACAUUCCAGUCCUCUUGCUUCACUUUGCUAUUGGAAACAUAACUGGAAGCCCUCAAUGAAGAGCAAGUAAGUGCAUAUCAUGUCUGGACAACUCAAGGAAGAAAAGGGUUCAGGAAGUUUGAACUCUCUCAUUUAGGAAAAAAAAUGGCUGAUGAAUUGCAUAACUAAUGGACAAAUGAAAAAAGUGCAAUUAUAUUUACCUACUGGAUUGAUUAGUGAGUACCAAUGCACACACUUCUACCAUUAGUCAGGAUUUGAGGAAGCAUUCUCCUGAUGCUUUGUUGUUGUCUAUUUUAAAACUGGAUCUCUCAAUUAUAUUGAUGAAAUAGGAUAUACAAUCCUCCUGCAUAAAUUUAAAUGAAUCAAAUUUCUAUAUACUUAGUAUAUAACAUAUAAUUAAAGACAUCAUAGAGAUCAAAAGGGAAAUUGGACAUUAAUAAUCUUAAAGAUCAAUAUAGAUAAUUAUUCAAUACAUGGAAAAUGUUCUUACCAAGUUAGGAAGCAAAAGACUUUUAAAAAUAUGGAGGUACUGUGUUACUCAGCUUUCCCUCAUUAUAACAAUAUUAGAAACAAUUAACUUAUAAAGAGAAAAGGUUUAUUUUGGCUCAAAGUUUGGGAUGAUCAGUUAGGGCUAUUAUUUUGGGUCUGUCUAGGGUCAGCACAUUAUAGUGUGGAGUGUGGCAUGGGGUGGAGAUAGAGAGCAGAAGAGAAGAAGAGGAAGGGUCCACAGUCCUACUGACUCCCUUUGAGGGUACAACCCCCAAUGAUGUAAAGUUCUCCUCCAUGCCUCCAUUGGCUGGAGACCAAGCCUUUAAUGCACAGACCACAGGAGGACAUAGAUCCAAACCAUAAUAGGUAGCAUUUCCCACACAUCAAAUUGGCUGAGAUUUGUUAGGUAAGUUUUCAAGACAGAGAGAUAGGCUCGACAAACCUCUGCUAGUGAAUAAAUGAAUCAGUCCAACCUAUAGCGAAAGGAGGAAAAGUGAACAUACAACACAUAUUAUUAAGAAUUCUCAGUCUCUUAUCCUAGAAUUCCCAUAUUAGUAGAUUCACUAAUGAAAAUAAACACUUGUACAGAAAGUAUACAAAAAUUUAUUUGUUAAACCUGAAUGUAUGAUGGCAAAAAUUAACAAAUAAACAAAUAACUAAACAAAAAAUGAAACAAACAUAUAGCAAUGGAGAUUUUUUAACACAAGCGUUAUACAGCAUAACUUGCAUUAUGACAUCAUACUAAAAGAAGUUAGUUUCAGUUUAAUAAAUAAGCAUUAUUAUUUUAUGAAAAAUGAAAAGUGAAAAAGCUAUAUGGAGAGCAUUAAGCAAAAUCAUGCAAUAAAAAUAAUUAUUGGUAUUAAUUGAUAUUAUUCUUGCAGGUUAACCUCUUUCAUAAUCUAUAAAAUAAAACAGGAAAAUAGAUACUCAUAUCUGAAUAGCAUCUAAAUAUCUGGAUGAUAGAAUGAUGUACAAUAUUGUCUUUUCCAAUAUUUCAUAUUUUCUAAGUGUUUAUAUUUUUUAUAUUUUCUCCAUCAGAGAAAUGAAAGUAAACAAAAUUUACUGAAAAGAAAUAGAUUGCAACUGUGAAUUUAUAUCAGCGUUUGCCUUCAUAACAAUAAAAGCUGCCAGUUAUAUUGCUUGUGAUUAUCUAACAAAUCCUAGGUUUGAUAGUCAAAGCCAUUUCUUGAGGUUUCAAAACAGCAUCCAGACUGUUAAGUAAAUUGAACAGAAACUGACUGCUCUUCUUUGCCAAAAAAGUAAAAGUCUUGCAAGUAGCAACUUGUAAUGCUAAGUUACUCCUUGCAGUUAUCCUUUUGAAAUAACUCACCAAAUAAGUCCAGAGCUAUGCAUCUGGGGUUUAUGAUAAAUGAAAUGUCACCACUGGUUUUUGUAAGGGAUCCAUAUUGCAACAUGUUCCUUCUCAGAGUUGGUCCUGGGGCUCUUGUUCUGUAAUUGUAUACCAACCAGAUGAGUGUAUCCUGAACAGUGGGAGUGAACAUUUCCAGUUUUUGGCAGGCUCAUUGAUUUCUCAGCAAGAGAGAUAGUGCCUUCAGCAAUAGCCUUGGAGAAUCCAUGCUGGGAGGAAAGAAUAUUCACACUUCUCUAUAUCACCUCCUUGCUCCAUUCCUUGGAUUUUUUUCUUUCUUUUAGCUUUUUA